CUGCAGAGUUCCUGUUUCAUGCCUUGCUGGUAGGUUGGAUUUUGCUGGGUGUUUGUUGCAGCGGAGCACCGCCAUCGUGAGCAUCAGUCGCGUGGGUUUUCAGGCCCUUCGUCUUGUCCAUCUUUGGCGCCAUUUUUGGGCUCUGUUUGCUCGAGGAGGUGUGCGCCUGUGUUGGGAGGUCACCGUCAACGCUGUGGGUAUGUGUGUG